GGGGAAUAUUGGACAAUGGGGGCAACCCUGAUCCAGCGAUGCCGCGUGAGUGAUGAAGGCCCUAGGGUUGUAAAACUCUUUCGUCAGGGAAGAUAAUGACGGUACCUGAAGAAGAAGAUCCGGCUAACUCCGUGCCAGCAGCCGCGGUAAUACGGAGGGGUCUAGCGUUAUUCGGAAUUACUGGGCGUAAAGCGAGCGUAGGCGGAUUUGUAAGUUGGAGGUGAAAUCCCAGAGCUUAACUCUGGAACUGCCUUCAAAACUACAUUUCUUGAGUUUGGUAGAGGAGAGUGGAAUUCCUAGUGUAGAGGUGAAAUUCGUAGAUAUUAGGAGGAACACCAGUGGCGAAGGCGACUCUCUGGGCCAAUACUGACGCUGAGGUUCGAAAGCAUGGGUAGCGAACAGG
rnacentral:rRNA from 1 species